CCAAGAUGGCGGCACAAAAUGAAUUGCUGGCUGAUGCAAUUUUAGAAGACAAACUUGUCGUGAUAAUGCUGUUCCAACAACUUGUCUACAAGAUAUGUUCUCAACGGGCUUGUAGCAAGCUUGUAGACAAGUUGUUGGAACAGCAUUAUCACGACAAGUUUGUCUUCUAAAAUUGCCUCAGCCAGCAAUUCAUUUUGCGUCGCCAUCUUGGAUGUUUACUUUUGUAUACUACGCAUGCGCUGUUACGACAAUCCGUAAGCAGAUAGCUUUCGUUCGCCGCACAUGGAAAGAUUUUGGCACGCGAGGCAGAAAUUAUCAAACGUGUUAGAUAUUUGCCGUAAGUGGCACGAAUGACAAAAGUCGUUCGUAAAUCGCCCGCACACAAGAGCUAUCUCC